rnacentral:rRNA from 1 species
UACGUAGGGUGCAAGCGUUGUCCGGAAUUAUUGGGCGUAAAGAGCUCGUAGGCGGUUUGUCGCGUCUGCUGUGAAACCCGAGGCUCAACCUCGGGCCUGCAGUGGGUACGGGCAGACUAGAGUGCGGUAGGGGAGAUUGGAAUUCCUGGUGUAGCGGUGGAAUGCGCAGAUAUCAGGAGGACACCAAUGGCGAAGGCAGAUCUCUGGGCCGUAACUGACGCUGAGGAGCGAAAGCAUGGGGAGCGAACAGG